CUGCCAUGUUUGUGUACGGGUGACAUGUGUGACACACGUCACUACUUAAACGUCAAGGUUAGGGAAUUCCGAGUUAAAAGUUACACAAUUUAUUUUAUUCCGGGUUUCGUUCUUGGCGAGAAAAGUCGUGCAGUAGAAUCACAAAAUGUUGCAAUCUUCACAAAAUCUUGAUUUUAAUUUGCCAUCUUUAAAUAUUUCAACGUGUAUUAACGCGGGGAAUAUGUUAACCAAAAAUUUGGAAAACCAACACAAAGAUGGAGGCUGAAAAAUCCAACGAAUACACGUGAAGAAAUUUGUUUCGAUGAGCUGAUAACCUGGAAGUUACCAGAAGGUGUUCCAAGGCCAGAUAGAAGCAAUUGGUGUCACAGAAUCAAGGUCAGGUCAGGUCAAGCCACACAAUUUUAAAAAACUUUUUCUUUAUUUUUCUUCUUACAAUGGUUAUAAUCUUUGGCAAUAUCAAUGUACUCCCUUGGGUACAUAAAUUCGUAAAACGCCAACAUUAGGUAACACAGCGAAGCGACCAAUAAGAAGGGCCACACGCCGCUCGUCUUAUAACUGAAAUAAAAUUUAUAAAAAAAAAAACCGAAUUUUU